UACGAAGGGGGCUAGCGUUGUUCGGAAGCACUGGGCGUAAAGGGCGCGUAGGCGGCUUUUCAAGUCGGGGGUGAAAGCCUGUGGCUCAACCACAGAAUUGCCUUCGAUACUGUUAGGCUUGAGACCGGAAGAGGUGAGUGGAACUGCGAGUGUAGAGGUGAAAUUCGUAGAUAUUCGCAAGAACACCAGUGGCGAAGGCGGCUCACUGGUCCGGUUCUGACGCUGAGGCGCGAAAGCGUGGGGAGCAAACAGG
rnacentral:rRNA from 1 species